rnacentral:rRNA from 1 species
GACGAACGCUGGCGGCGUGCUUAACACAUGCAAGUCGAGCGGAGCGGCGGACGGGUGAGUAACGCGUGAGUAACUGGCCCCCUCUCUGGGAUGACAGUUGGAAACGGGUGCUAAUACCGGAUAGUGGGGGAUGACUGGGGUCCUAUCCGCUUGUUGGGGGGGUAGUGGCCUACCAAGGCGAGGACGGGACGCCGGCCUGAGAGGGCGACCGGCCACAUUGGGCUGCGGUACGGCCCAGUCUCCUACGGGCGGCAAGAGAGGGGAGUAUUGCACAGUGGGGGCAACCCUGAUGCAGCAAUCCGCGUGCGGAAUGCCGGGCUUCGGGUUGUAAACCGCUUUCAGCCAUGCCGCGGUAGUGGCACAAGAAGCAACGGCUAACUACGUGCCAGCAGCCGCGGUAAUUC